UUACACCUACGGGGCGCAGCAGUGAGGAAUAUUGGUCAAUGGUCGGGAGACUGAACCAGCCAAGCCGCGUGAGGGAUGAAGGUACAGAGUAUCGUAAACCUCUUUCGUCAGGGAACAAAGGCGGGGACGCGUCCCCGGAUGAGUGUACCUGAAGAAAAAGCAUCGGCUAACUCCGUGCCAGCAGCCGCGGUAAUACGGAGGAUGCGAGCGUUAUCCGGAUUUAUUGGGUUUAAAGGGUGCGCAGGCGGUCUGUUAAGUCAGCGGUCAAAGCCCGGGGCUCACCCCCGGCCCGCCGU
rnacentral:rRNA from 1 species